rnacentral:lncRNA from 1 species
GCUAAAUAUAUAUCUUGGGAUUGUGUUGGAAUAAGGUGUGUCCUGCCCCAUUUUCCUCACAAAAAGCGAGAUUCGACGUGACAAAGUCUUUUUUUGCGAUUGUUUGAAUGGUAGAGUACGAAGAGUCGCCACCUAACGAAUUAACGUGCGUUAGGGCACCAGUCUAGGCUACUACGAACCUAUUUUGUCAUCUUGUCUUAGUUCACCAGAGUUUGGGAAAGGGUUCAAAUUACCUCGAAAGAAAGGUGUUAGGCACCUUUCGAGGUCCACAAAGGUAGUUCCCGGCCGAAUUCAUACUUUAUGUGGGGAUUCUAUGUGGUUAAAUAAGGUCUGUUGUUUUAUUAUUAAUUUUACAUUUAGCUAAGUGAUAAAGCAAUUAACAAACGUUUAACUAAUUUAUUUUAGCUAUUAAUCGUCUAAUUAAUAAAAUAUAUAACCAAGACAAGUGAGAAGAAAGAAGGAAAACAAUUAUAAUAAUGGGGACUGCUUACGUAAUAACUAACUACCCCAAGUAAAUGAAUAAAUAAAGAAAAUUGUCAUGAACAAAGAAGAGUUUUUGGUCUUAUUCAGAUCAGCCCCAACUUGUUUAGUCAUUAUUUGACCAAAGGGCCGAAAUCAAGUUACAAUGUCAUUUAGCCUUUUAGUCAUUACCUAUUGGGAUCAUCAUUUCCAAAUGGCUACCCGUCCCACCCCACCUAGGCUGGAUGUUAAGUGUAAAGGAUUUCUAUGACAAGGAUAAAACUAGCUUCUUUUAAAAAUACUUAUCGUCCUCCCUAUAGUCCAAAAGGCAUGGGACUUUAUUAUUUUCGGAUUUGUGUUCUAGACAAAAGUAAAGCUAUGUUGCCUAGGACUCGAAGCGUUUAACAGGCUGGACAGCAAGUACCACAUAAUAAUCCCAAGUUAUCCUCUUGGUCAAUUACUGUUUGUUAGUGUGAUAGCAUGCACAGAAAAAUAACUAUUGUUGAAUAACCUAUAGGCAUGAUGUCCAAAUGUUCAAAAAGUGGUGACAAAAGGACAACUGUGAUUCAUGUAUGCAACAAUGUGUGUUAAAAGGGUGUCAAAGGUGUGGUAAUUAUGUCAAGAAACUAUGCUCAUGACAUCCUAAGAUGUAUAACUCUUAAUGUUUAACCUGCUAGAAGUAUGCAAAGAUGCCUAGAAAUCACAUAUUUAACAUGCUGAAAUUGUAUUUAAACAUGCUGAAAAUAAUAUUAAGGCAUAGAAUAUUCAUGUUAAUAAGUAGAGACUUACCAAGAAUGCCUAAAACUUGUUGAAGAUUAGUGUGCUAGUAUUUCAACAUGUUGGGCAUUAAUUGAUAGACUGACAAUUAAUUUGCUGUGCUAGAAAUUCAACAUGCUCAUAUUUUUUAUUGUGUAAAGCAUACUGAAAUUUAAUGCAGACAUUUAUACGUCAAAACUUGGUUGAUAUGAUGAAUAUCAAAUUCACAUGAUAACAAUAUAUUAAUUGAUAAAAUUAAUUCAUUCUUCAGAUUUAUAAUGACGGGUUAAUGUUUAACAUACUGAAUACGAAAUGUCAUGUUACAUGUACUGUUAUGCAAGAAAUUAUUUUAGCAAAGUAAAAAAAACUUGAUUGCUGAAAGUUAUAUUACUAAUGCAAUAAUUUGCAUCAACAUACUAAAAUUCAAAAAAUGGCUCAUUCAUUAUUUAAUAUGCUAAAAAAUAUAGAAAUUUUAACAUUCAAAUAUGCUAAAAACACUUUAAUUUGCAAAAGAUGUAUUUAAACUCUGAAACAUGUGAGAAUUUAUUUCUUAAGACUAAGAAGCUAUAGCAAUGUAUGAAAUUGUUCAAUUGUUAAAGAAACAUUUGAUUAUUUAAAAAGUUAAUAUGUGCUGGAAUUUACUUUAUCUUGCUCAAUUUAUAUUAACAUGCUAGACGCACAGUGAAACAUUAAGAUUAAUGAAGUCUAAUGCUCAAUAUGACCGUGGAAUCAAACUAAUUAAUACAUGACUUAAAUGUCGUGUAUGUUAAUCAAUCCUAAAUUCGUGUGUCUAGGUGAUUCACAGAGCACGUAACGAAUAUAAAACCUAAAUCAGUGCCUACCAAUACUAUUAAUAGAGCAUGUAGUUCCCCGCCCCACAAAGCAGUCCUCAAAAAUUAUUAUUACAAUAAUAAUAGAUGUAUUUACAAAUAUUACAAACUAAAUACUAAAAAAAGAACAAAUUAGAAAAACAACAAACUAAAUGGGACAACAUAGUCCAUUAAACAUCCUGGGGACUCUUCAGUUUCCAAAACCUUUUAGACACAAUAAAAUAGUAUGGCAAGAACAGGAAGGAUGAUAGAACAUACCAACAUAUAGUAGACAAACAUAACACAAUUAUUUCCAAUAGACAUGCUUUCUAGUUUCGUGGCAUGACAUAAUCAACACACAUAAUGUAAAAUACUACAUCAAUUUGGGAACUUACCAGUGAUCAGCAGUAAAAGAAUAAUAGGAAUAAUAAAACAUGGCACUUGUAACAGCAAAAUAUGCAAUAUAUUUUAGUAAGUCUUGAAAGAAACCCAAAACUCUUGAAAAUAUCUAUUUGCCUUGAAUUAAAAAUCGGUAAUUCUUUUUAUUGGUUUUAGAGAAUAGUGUUAGUAAUGUCAAAACUGUGGUGUUAAUGAAAAUAGAAGGGUUGUUAUAUAGUAAGAGGGUUGUGAGCUAAGGUCCAAUUAGCCAACCCAAAAAAGGAAAGAAAUUAUAAAAGAUCAAUCCCAAAUAAUUAAGGAGAACAAAAGGGCAUUACAUCAAGUUAAUUGGGGGUCAAAACGGGUAAAGGAAAGCAACAUUUUUUGAAAUUCAUCAGAAUCAAUUAAGGGGGCAAUAAAUCAACUAAUUAUUCAUAGAUCAGUCCAAAAAAAAGGAUAGCAUAUGUUUAGAAAAAUCAAAUAAAAUAAUUUCCUUAGUUAAGUAAGUAAAUUCAAUUAGAAGCCAGUUUACCAUAAAUGGGUGAGUAAAAGGAUACUAAUCUAACAGAAAUGCGUAUUACCAUCAUAUAUGUUCAAAUUAAUUGUAAAAAACAAUAAGUCAACUAGUUACGGUAAUCAUACUUAGUCAUUUUUGUCAAAAUAUCGAAUCAAUUGUCAAUUAGGAAUAAACACAAUCAAUACUUUUCCAUUAACACUGAUUCAAACAUAAUCCAUGCAUAAAAACUUUCAAAAACAAUCCGCAAUUGGUAAUUAUAUUGACUAUCAAAAAUGAGGAUUUUCGCACAUAAUGGUCCACGUAAUAAACCGGAUUAAAUCAACAUUCACAGUCAGAUACCAUAAUCCUUAAAUCUAAGAGGUUAAUUUAAAUAGCUUGAGUGAUGGAAAGAAUAUGCAAAUCAAAUUAAUGAAACAAACAUGCAAUUGAGGAAUUAAAACCAUAUAAUAGUUGGAUCUGAGGGGCCGCGUCGUUGGUUCGUGGCUACUAAAGGCAGUAUUUGAUGGAGGGGGAGGGCGACGGAGAGAAGGCCACAAUGCUAUUCACUGAUGGAUAGAUAAACAGAGGGAUCCUGCAACAGCUCUGGGUUGGCUCACCGCUGUAAAUGGUGGAACAUAACUGGAGGUUCACUGUUAGUGUUAGUUUACUAGCGGAGAGAGUGGAGAAGCAGUGGGGUGAAGCAGAGAAGAGGAGGGGCUCAGAGGUAGCUGGUAGCAGUGAGGUCGCGAUGUUGGCGUUGUCUUCUCCGGUGGCUAUUUCGUGGAUUGGGGGAGGCGGUGGCACGCCUAUUUUUAUCGAUGUCGGCACUAUUUUUUGGUCGCGACAACUGGAGGACAGAAGAGGAUGAGAGGGGGUAGAGGGGAAGGGUAGGCUUACUGGUGUUGGGGAUGGCCAGUGGCAACCGUGGACGACGGGGAGAAGAGUAGAGAGAGAGGAGGUGAGAGAGAGGAGGCGGAUGAUUAGGAAAAUAUUUUAGGGUUUCCUUUUGAUGGUUCUUAAAAAGGAAGGGGGAAGUGUUUGGUGUCAUCCGUUGGAUCCAUUAAGGUC